CUAUGCAGAAUGUUUUUCCAGAAACCUGCUCAGCCAGCUCCUGAUGGAGAACACUUUUAGGAAGAAGUUGGUCCCACUGAAGCAGGAGAGCAAGGAGGUACAUCUUGAUUGGGUACCGAUCCAGAAAUAUUUGGUUGAAUUCAACAAGAUCGAUAAAGACCAGCAACCUCCAGACCCCGCAUCAUCUGGUCUCAAAAAGUACAAGAGAGCUGAAAUUGGACACACACUAGUAAGAGAGCUUCCUGAAGAAUAAGUUGCUUUCUCAGGAGUCCCUGAUGACCAACAUCCUGAAUGAAAACACCACUUGAGAGACAACUUGGGGGACUGCCUUUCAUUAUGUGUGCUAGAGGAGAAAUAGCAAUACAUCUGUGCUUCUAAAUAUUCCUAAAUGUUCUUGUUACUAUUUUUCACUUUUCAAAUACUUUAAAACAUUUAUAUUUAUUCAUUUUCAUCCUCUGUCUUUGUAAAACGUAUUUCUUAUGAAUAAAAAUUGAAUUCUAUCUCCUGACUCUUAAGACCAUCAUUCUUACUCAAGGAUUCUGUCCCCU
rnacentral:sRNA from 1 species